rnacentral:rRNA from 1 species
GACGAACGCUGGCGGCGUGCCUAAUACAUGCAAGUCGAGCGGAACGACCAGGAGCUUGCUCUUGUUCGGUUAGCGGCGGACGGGUGAGUAACACGUGGGUAACCUGCCCGUAAGACCGGGAUAACUCCGGGAAACCGGAGCUAAUACCGGAUAACACCGCAGACCGCAUGGUCCUUGGUUGAAAGGCGGCUUCGGCUGCCACUUACGGAUGGGUCCGCGGCGCAUUAGCUAGUUGGUGAGGUAACGGCUCACCAAGGCGACGAUGCGUAGCCGGCCUGAGGGGGUGGACGGCCACACUGGGACUGAGACACGGCCCAGACUCCUACGGGAGGCAGCAGGAGGGAAUCUUCCGCAAUGGACGGAAGGCUGACGGAGCGACGCCGCGUGGGCGAAGGAGGUCUUCAGGUCGGAAAGCUCUGUUGUUAGGGAAGAAGAAGCGUCGUUCGAACAGGGCGGCGCGGUGACGGUACCUAACGAGAAAGCCCCGGCUAACUACGUG